rnacentral:rRNA from 1 species
AGAACGAACGCUGGCGGCAUGCCUAACACAUGCAAGUCGAACGCUUUUGGGGCUUCGGUCCCAAAGGAGUGGCGCACGGGUGAGUAGCGCGUGGGAACCUGCCCUGUUGUGGGGGAUAACCGAGGGAAACUUCGGCUAAUACCGCAUACGCCCGGGGGAAACUCCGGGGAAAGAUUUAUCGCAGCAGGAGGGGCCCGCGUCGGAUUAGGUAGUUGGUGGGGUAACGGCCCACCAAGCCUGUGAUCCGUAGCUGGUCUGAGAGGAUGAUCAGCCACACUGGGACUGAGACACGGCCCAGACUCCUACGGGAGGCAGCAGUGGGGAAUAUUGGACAAUGGGCGCAAGCCUGAUCCAGCAAUGCCGCGUGAGUGAUGAAGGCCUUCGGGUUGUAAAGCUCUUUCGCACGCGACGAUGAUGACGGUAGCGUGAGAAGAAGCCCGGCUAACUUCGCGCCAGCAGCCGC